rnacentral:lncRNA from 1 species
UCUUUCCUUUUCUCUCCUUUUUUUUACUUUUCUUUUAAUUUUUUUUUGAAAUUCGGCUAACAAGAACAAAAUAUUAUACAUAAUUGAAGAAUAAGAACAAAGUGCAACCAAAAUUAAGAAUAAUAAAGAUAGAAGUUGAACAAUCUAAACAAAUAAAAAUAAGAAGAUAAACUUAAAUAAAUCAAACACAAAUGAUACUUAGAGAUUUAUCCAAUGCCAAAGCUUUGAUACCAAAUUGAUGCGGAACCCAAAGAUCAAAGAUUACAUUCAAAACUCCACAUAUAUAUUUAGUAUAGAUAACUUAAAAACUUUAAACAAAUUCUCCCUACCAAACCCACAACUAACCUAUAAUUGAGAAAUUGGAUGAUUGAGAUGAAAGAAGCAAUAACGAAUAAACGAUACAAGAUAACUUGAUAAGUUAAUUCAAUUCUUGAUGUAACAAGAAGAAUAAGAAUUCUCACUUGUCAAAAUUCUAUCAAAGGCAAUGAAAUUCAUUCAAUAAUCGAAAUGUGUCAUAUUAUAUUAUAAAGAAGAUAUUUAUAGGCUAAAACAUUUAGAUUCUACCAAAGGAUCAUAAUUAGAUGACGUAGGAAACAUGAAUAUAAUUUAAAUGACCUAGGGAAGCAUAAUAUUGAAUGACAUAGGAAAACAUGAUAUUAAAUGAUUUAGGAGAAUAUAGUAUUAAAUGACCUAGGCAAACAUAAUAUUAAAUGAUUUAAGUAAACAUGAACAUAAUUUAAUUAUUUAGAAAAUGACCAAAAUGAUUCUAAACAUUCAUUCUAAAUUCUGCCCACACGCUUGGACAAAAUUAAUGAUUUUCUUUGGCUUUUUUGAUUCUUUAAAUAGUUCACAUGUACUAAAUUCUUGUUGUAUCCAUCUUUAUACAAAGUUUUGAAUGUAUGUCUUAGCUUCUUGACUUAAAAUCUUGUGAUUGGAUCAAGUGGCAUUGUAAUAUUUUCUUGAUGCUUCUCUUUAAUGCCUUGCGAACAAAUGUCCGCAUCACCUUAUCUAAGGUCUGUUGAGACUUGAAAUAAGUCCAAAGGCUCGCAAUUAAGAGGACAAGAAAAGGUAAAAAAAAAAGAUGUAAGCCCUUGUAGAAGAACACGGUCUUUUCGCAAAAUUAAGUCUAGUUAGCAUCUAGAAGAUCUUCAAAGGUAGACAAUCAUAGUCCUUUCCCCUGUCAAGCUUGCAGAAAAAAGCUACUACUUCAGAAGGUACCAUUGUUGUAGAUAUUUUUCUCAACAUAUAGAAGGCUUAAAAAUUAAUUGAAUCGCUGGUUUAAGUCUUUCCCGGUAGAUUGUCAAGAACCUGGUUGUCUAACAACAGCUGGGAAGCAGGUUGGUUUAGUCUUUGAGAAGUUUUAGACCUGAAGGAGGCAGAAAAAUGGAGACCAGCGGAGGAAGGAAAGAUAGGAGAAAGAACAGAGUUGUGAGGAUAGAAGAAGAAUAAUGUUAAAGAAGAUGAGAUCACAGAAGAAGAAUAAUGUUAUAGAAGAUGAGAUGAUUUUUACUGAUAUUUUCUUUAUAUCCCUUCUACAAUUUUGGGUGGUAUAUAUAUACCAGUACAGAGAAUAAAAACCAAAAUAAUAACAGACUCGUAAUGGUGCAAUAGGGGUAGCUGUCGUACCAGUGUCCUAUAAUACUGAAAUUCAAGUAAAAUUCCUUUUAUAACAGGUAAUUCCUGUAACCUAAAGCAGACUUAAAGCAUAAUUGAAAUCCUAUACUUAAUGGUGCCAUUUCAGGUCCUAACACAGAUCAAUGGAAAUAUUAUCUUUUGCCUAUUCUCAAUUUCUGCAUUUUCUAGGUCACCUAAUCUUCUUAAAGGUUGAAAUAAAAAAUUUACGUCAUUUCAUUUGUUUAUUCUUACUGAAAU